rnacentral:lncRNA from 1 species
GCCCCAAUAUGUGCUGGCUGCCACCCGGACAGGAGCCACCACCUCCAAGGAGCCCACCGGCUAGGACCCUCUACCUUGAUUUCUCCCAGGCACCAUCUAGUAUCAAAGAAGGGUUCUGCUUCCCUCCGCUGCCCAGGCCAGCCUGAGAGGAAGGCCAUUGGAGUGUCUGGAACCCUGCAGCUCUUCCCCUGGGCUGUCUCCACAGCGGCCCUACCAAGGGGUGCAGUCCAAUCCUGCCACCCUGGCUGCCCAGAUCCGUGCCACCUGCCCUGCAGGCCACAGAGCACAAGGCCACAGCCCCAGGCAUCCCACAGCAGAGAGGCACAGGACCCCAGCAGCAGCCCCCACACCAGCUCUGGCCAGCCCAACCCUGUCAGAACCAACCCUCUGCUCUCCACCCAGGCCUCAGCCGACCAUCAGGCCCUGCCUCCCCAAGGAGGAGGAUGUGAGUAUCAGGAUCAGCCCUGUCCCUCCCAGAGCACUGUUGGGCCUGGCACCUCCCAGGACGCCCCAGGCAGCCCCUGGGGUCAGCUAUACCCCCAUUUAACAGAGGAGACAGCUGCAUUUCAGGCCACACAGGACCAGCUCGCCUCCUGCUGGGUGGGGGCUCCCCACCUCGUCCACCCCACACCUGAGCCAACGACCCUCAUCUAUCUGCCCUCUGCUUUAGGCCUCCCAGGGCUCUCUAGUGCCCACAGCCCUUCAGGGCCCUUCCUAACGGCGCCUCCCCCAUGCCCUCCCCUAGAUGCAUCUGGCCACUUGCCCGCCUCUGUGCUUCUGUGUCCAUCAUGUCCAUACCCCCAGCUCCCUCCAGGCACCUCUCACACCAACCCCACGUCUUUCCCUGGGCUAUGUCACCCUGGGUGCCCAGCCUCACCUCUCACACCAACCCCACGUCUUUCCCUGGGCCAUGUCACCCUGGGUGCCCAGCCUCAGCCUUCAGAGCUCCCAGGCAAGCGCAGAAGUCCCAGCUCCAGGCUCCCUGAGCCGCCAGCCCACCCCCCACCAGAUUCCCACAGGUGGGACUGCAUGGGGAACCAUGGGUGGAAGCCUCCCAGCCCACGCCCCUGCCAGCCCUCGCCCCUGCCAGCACUCAGCAUGGUGUCCGAUGGCAGCAUUGCUGUGUGGGAAAGGGGGCAGCAUGGGAUAAGGACCACUAGGCUGUCCCCAGCCUGCCAAGGGCCCAAGCCCACCUCCUAG